UCUGGUGAUUGGCUCUCAGGUCUCUUUGAAGGCUUCAGAGGAUGUCACAGUCUGUCCUAAGGAGCUGAAGUUUCAAUACCUGGAUGCAGAGAAACUGCAGCAGUACCUAGAACUGUCUGCUGAGCAAAUGCAAGACAAGUUCAACUUCUACCUGAUGAAGAAGGGCACGAAUGAAAUUGUUUGGGAGGCGCAUUUAA